rnacentral:lncRNA from 1 species
GCUUUAUUUUUUUCAUUAUUGAUGAAAGUCUGAAAUGUACAUUUGUCAUUCCCACUCCCAUCAAUCCCUGAUCAUAUAAGGCUUUUUGAUUGUAAACAAGAACAAAACUAUCCCAAUACAUUAUCCUCUGAUUUAUCUUACCUAUAAAAGUGGCUCCUGUUUGGAUGAAUUAUUUUGAUGUUGAAAUGUUAAAGGGAACCCUAAGUUACUAAAUGAAGGAAACUCACAGACCAAAAAAAAAAAAAAUGGUAAGAAUCACGCCAAGGAAAUAUUUCUUAGGCUAUGACUUGUCACCACACAUGUGGUUUACUGUGUGCAUUUGAUGGCAUUCUUAGAACCCUAUUA